GGGGUGUCUAGUCGAGGACGGGUGAAGGCUACGGGGUGUCUAGUCGAGGACGGGUGAAGGCUACGGGGUGUCUAGUAGAGGACGUGGUGAAGGCUACGGGGUGUCUAGUAGAGGACGUGGUGAAGGCUACGGGGUGUCUAGUCGAGGACGUGUGAAGGCUACGGGGUGUCUAGUAGAGGACGGGUGAAGGCUACGGGGUGUCUAGUCGAGGACGGGUGAAGUCUAAAGGGUGUCUAGUCGAGGACGGGUGAAGUAUAAAGGGUGUCUAGUCGAGGACGGGUGAAGUCUACGGGGUGUCCAGUAGAGGACGGGUGAAGGCUACGGGGUGUCCAGUCGAGGACGGGUGAAGGCUACGGGGUGUCCAGUCGAGGACGGGUGAAGGCUACGGGGUGUCUAGUCGAGGACGUUGUGAAGUCUACGGGGUGUCCAGUAGAGGACGGGUGAAGGCUACGGGGUGUCUAGUCGAGGACGUUGUGAAGUCUACGGGGUGUCUAGUAGAGGACGGGUGAAGGCUACGGGGUGUCUAGUAGAGGAC
rnacentral:lncRNA from 1 species